ACUGCCAUCACUCUUUAUCGACGAGAAAACGUCUCUUGUGCUUCAUUAAAAUAAAACGGCAGCAGUUGCGAGGAAUCCCUUGACUGAGUGUUGGGAAUUGGGAUAGAAUACUUCAGGUGGGGUGAUUUUAAUUCAGAUUCAGUUGUUUAGGUUGGAUUUUAGGGGGUUGUGUAUGUUGUGGAUUUUGGGUUGCGGAGAAAGGGCUCGAAUUUCAUAGUGAUGAGGAUAAAGAGGUUCAAGGGAUAAAGCUUUUGUAGACGUGUCGUGUGUUUCGCGGGCCAGUGGAAGAGAUAUCUUUGACGGCCGGCCAGAGUUAUAUAGCGAGAACAUGAUAUGUUGAUGCAUAAAGAGCUCAGAAUCUUUAUUGGAAAAUAGCGAAGUAUCGAGCUAAGAAUAUUGAGGUCGGGAGAGAGAAUAAAAUAUGCUGGUUUAAUGGAUGCCUACACUUCUCUGUUCCAGAAUAGCAUGUUCAGGCAGUGACACCAUUGCAGGAUGUUGCACCACCACUAAUUCAUGACCACUAACCUAUUAAAAAGGUUUUGACAUUAUCGAAUGUUGAUACUAAUCAUCCAUUUCUUCCUUUGGCAUGCAGAUUAGUCGAAGAUCAUAAAAGUGUUGUGUUGUGCAUGAUACGGAGUUUUAGCCUUGAGUACUUCUGAUUCACUCGCUGGAUGAAGAGUGAGCUCCCUUACUUCAGUGCUCUGGAUCUUCUAUGCCACAUCUGUUGACGAAGUAGUUAAUGGCACAUGUUAACCUCAUCAUGUUAACCUCACAGAUAAGCUUUUGAACUACAAUAUGUUUUUGUCAUAGCUGGUUUUGAAAAGAAUUGAGAGGAGUUGUUGCUGAGGGGAAAAGUCAUUUGUUUUAGCUUAGUCAAUUUUUACGCGGCUUAAAUCUUACAAGCGCUACAAUCAGUUUGGUAUCUGGAGGUAAUAUUAGAUCAAGUGGAGACUUCGUAGGGCCGAUACUAGCAGUCAAGCGAAAGGCUCUCGGCAGUUAGAGGAAAGGUCGAUGAUGCUUUCAGGGUUGCCUGCCAAAUCUUUCAUGAAUUUAAUGGAAUCAAGGAAGGAAAGUGUACCAUGGUCUCUACCCUCAGCUUUAGCUCAAAGACGGAGACUACUGAAAAAUGAUGCAAAUUAAAUCCUACUUUGUAAUCCACAUAUUUUUUGUAAAAAAAAACCGACACAUGUACAAUGAUCUCCUUCAACAACUGCAGGCGACAACCUAUAUUACAUCCUAUGCUGCAAUUUACAUGCAAUUUUACAUUGUUAGA